GACGAUUCGCGUUGGUUUCAUACCAUCGCGUUCGUCCCCUUUACGGCAGAGGCCGCUGGGACGUCUUCCCGGGACACGAGUUCUGUGUCGGGGAAGGGGUCGCGUGACAGCCGAUGGGACGCUUUCGUCAGUGAAUUCCCCGUGACGAUGGGUGCCCUCGCGCCCUCCAAAGAGGACCUCGUCGGUGCCGGGUUUGACGAUGAACGGACGGCCUACUUCAAAUGGAGGCGCAUCCAGUUGGAACAGCGUGUGCGACACGUCGCCGAUUCCUCUGGCAGGCAGCGACCGACGGAGGCCAAGGUGGCAGCCGUCGUAGCCAAGGAGAAAUGGAAAACCAAUGUCCCCUCCCUCCCGGAUGUGCUCAAGGCGUGGGUCUCCCCUUUAAAGAACAGGACAUGGUGUCUUUGGCUCCGUCUGUAAAGUUCAACUGGAACACCAGCCAUGGUUCCGGAUGAAGCGUCUCGCCGCUCACUGGUCGACCACCUAGAAAACAAAGGAUUCUUUGUCGUCGGUGAACCGUUGCGCCCCGCGCAUUGUGCAGUGCCCAGCUCUCAGGAGACGGGGCACAGGCCUGAGCACCGGCGUCUGCUGGAGAUGGCAGAGGGUCGGUCGGAGGAAGCUUGCCAUGGAAUCCUAACGGGAGAACGGUUGCCGCAUCAGCAGAUGACGAGGGUCUCCCCUUUAAAGGCAGCCAUCGAGGACGACGAAGGCUGUCCUCAAGUCGGUGGUGGAGCAACGGUGGAAGGGGAUCGAUUUUAAGGACUUUGGAGAACACGAGGGCAGAGGCGUCAUCGCCACCGUGCCGUUCUCCAAGGGGGACGUGAUAUGCGGCUAUCACGGGAAGCUCAUCCCUGAAUCCGAGGGGAAGAGGCUGACGAGGACGACGAAGGCUGUCCUCAAGUCUGACGAAGGCUGUCCUCAAGUCGGUGGGGAAGCUCAUCCCUGAAUCCGAGGGGAAGAGGCUGACGAGGACGACGAAGGCUGUCCUCAAGUCGGUGGUGGAGCAACGGUGGAAGGGGAUCGAUUUUAAGGACUUUGGAGAACACGAGGGCAGAGGCGUCAUCGCCACCGUGCCGUUCUCCAAGGGGGACGUGACGUGCGGCUAUCACGGAAAGCUCAUCUCUGAAUCCGAGGGGAAGAGGCUGAUGGAUGCAAUGCAGGAGGGAGCGAUGAGCUACCUCUUCUUCGUCAGGGGCAGGCUAGGCACCGAGCUGUGCGUCGACUCCCACAACUUCCCUGCGAGCGCCACCCUGGAAAAGGACGCCUUUGGUAGGCGCAUGAACCACUCGGGCAAGGCGGCCAACGUGAAGCCUGCGGUGUUCCAGUUGAACUUUACAGACGGAGCCAAAGACACUAUGUCCUGUUCUUGGCCCAGAGAAACAUAGCUGUCAACGAAGAGCUCCGUUGGGACUAUGGUGUGAGACGGGAGGUCUUUCGGAGAUGAGGGCAUGGACCUGGCAUGGCUCGGAUGACUGAAACGAUUCUCUUUGGUUCAUUGGGUUUCUCAUUUGUUGUUGCCGGUUAUCGCUGUUCUUGUUGUUUGGUGUCAUGUUUUUAAUAAAUGUUUUUGCCACAAAGGACAACGCCUUGAAUAGACUGACUUUAUUAAUCCCCGAAGGAUGUGAAAUAAUUCAAGUCUUCAUGUUGACAUAGAGUGGGUGCCAGAAAAAGUGAAAAACACGACGGCUCUCGUUUAAGGGCUUAAACGUUGAGCUACUGCAGGAAAAGGGCAUGCAUAAAACGUGCACUGCAUGUGAAACAUUCCGUAAUGAUGUAUGGGACGAUUGCGAUCACCAGACAUGAGGAUGAACAAAUGUAUUGCCACAUAAGCAGCUACAAGAAAAAACUAACAAACAAAUUAAUAAAUGAAGGAGUGAAUGAAUAAACAAGUAAAUGUUUAAGAUGGAGACAAAAGGGGGCCACUCUGCCCUUUUGUGGAAUAGUUUGGACAUGCCUACAGAAUAAAAAACAAACGGCAUGUCCACGAUGAAACACCGAAGCACUUUACUUCUGCUAACAAUAGUCUUUGGGUUCCAUUGAUUGCAUUUCCAUUUGAUUUGAGGUCAAAAUGGCUGCACUUUUCAAAAUGGCUGCUCUUUGAUGGUUUGAGUGUCAGACUAAUGGUUGUUACUUCAUGAGGUGGGUGCAGUGGUUUGUCU